rnacentral:rRNA from 1 species
AAUAGAUACCCAGGUAGUCCACCCCGUAAACGUUGGGAACUAGUUGUGGGGUCCCUUCCACGGAUUCCGUGACGCAGCUAACGCAUUAAGUUCCCCGCCUGGGGAGUACGGCCGCAAGGCUAAAACUCAAAGGAAUUGACGGGGACCCGCACAAGCGGCGGAGCAUGUGGAUUAAUUCGAUGCAACGCGAAGAACCUUACCAAGGCUUGACAUACACCGGAAACGGCCAGAGAUGGUCGCCCCGCAAGGUCGGUGUACAGGUGGUGCAUGGUUGUCGUCAGCUCGUGUCGUGAGAUGUUGGGUUAAGUCCCGCAACGAGCGCAACCCUCGUUCUAUGUUGCCAGCACGUAAUGGUGGGAACUCAUGGGAUACUGCCGGGGUCAACUCGGAGGAAGGUGGGGAUGACGUCAAAUCAUCAUGCCCCUUAUGUCUUGGGCUUCACGCAUGCUACAAUGGCCGGUACAAAGGGCUGCAAUACCGUGAGGUGGAGCGAAUCCCAAAAAGCCGGUCCCAGUUCGGAUUGAGGUCUGCAACUCGACCUCAUGUAAC